rnacentral:tRNA from 1 species
GCUGGGGUGGCCGAGCGGUCUAAGGCGGCACUGCCCAUCGACCCGUUAGUCACGGGUUCGAAUCCCGUCCCCAGCU